AGAGAGUUUCAAAGAAUUACAUCGUUCCCCAACAACAAAGGGCUUAGUUCACCAUAAUCAUGGUGAAACUAGAUGAAUUGAAUGGAAAGAAUAUAAAGAUAACCCUAGAUUUGUAAUAUUGGAGCUCUCGCAUCCAAGAUCUGCCUCCAAGGUGUGAAAAUCGUGUUUCUACGUCCUUUCUGCCAAAAGAUCCCCGCUAAGGGUCACUGUUCUAUUUAUAAGCUGUGAAGAAUUACAGAAAACAGGCCCAAAGCCCAAGUACACUACUCAACGGUAGGUGCGGCACUCGAGUCCACCGCUCAGCGGUAAGCACGACUCUUCUUUGAUGCCUCCUUCCAUCUUCUUUUGAGUAUAGUCCCUUCUUACUUCACUAUCCUUCAUCCAUUUCUCGUUAAGUCCUGUCAAAACAAGGAAAACCAAGCAUAAUACCCAUAAAACACUUUUGACUCUCUUAUAACCUAACUA
rnacentral:lncRNA from 1 species